rnacentral:rRNA from 1 species
AAAUUGAAGAGUUUGAUCAUGGCUCAGAUUGAACGCUGGCGGCAGGCCUAACACAUGCAAGUCGAGCGGUAGCACAGAGAGCUUGCUCUCGGGUGACGAGCGGCGGACGGGUGAGUAAUGUCUGGGAAACUGCCUGAUGGAGGGGGAUAACUACUGGAAACGGUAGCUAAUACCGCAUAAUGUCGCAAGACCAAAGUGGGGGACCUUCGGGCCUCAUGCCAUCAGAUGUGCCCAGAUGGGAUUAGCUAGUAGGUGGGGUAACGGCUCACCUAGGCGACGAUCCCUAGCUGGUCUGAGAGGAUGACCAGCCACACUGGAACUGAGACACGGUCCAGACUCCUACGGGAGGCAGCAGUGGGGAAUAUUGCACAAUGGGCGCAAGCCUGAUGCAGCCAUGCCGCGUGUGUGAAGAAGGCCUUCGGGUUGUAAAGCACUUUCAGCGGGGAGGAAGGCGGUGAGGUUAAUAACCUCAUCGAUUGACGUUACCCGCAGAAGAAGCACCGGCUAACUCCGUGCCAGCAGCCGCGGUAAUACGGAGGGUGCAAGCGUUAAUCGGAAUUACUGGGCGUAAAGCGCACGCAGGCGGUCUGUCAAGUCGGAUGUGAAAUCCCCGGGCUCAACCUGGGAACUGCAUUCGAAACUGGCAGGCUAGAGUCUUGUAGAGGGGUAGAAUUCCGUGUAGCGGUGAAAUGCGUAGAGAUCUGGAGGAAUACCGGUGGCGAAGGCGGCCCCCUGGACAAAGACUGACGCUCAGGUGCGAAAGCGUGGGGAGCAAACAGGAUUAGAUACCACGGUAGUCCACGCCGUAAACGAUGUCGAUUUGGAGGUUGUGCCCUUGAGGCGUGGCUUCCGGAGCUAACGCGUUAAAUCGACCGCACGGGAGUACGGCCGCAAGGUUAAAACUCAAAUGAAUUGACGGGGGCCCGCACAAGCGGUGGAGCAUGUGGUUUAAUUCGAUGCAACGCGAAGAACCUUACACGGUCUUGACAUCCACAGAACUUUCCAGAGAUGGAUUGGUGCCUUCGGGAACUGUGAGACAGGUGCUGCAUGGCUGUCGUCAGCUCGUGUUGUGAAAUGUUGGGUUAAGUCCCGCAACGAGCGCAACCCUUAUCCUUUGUUGCCAGCGGUUAGGCCGGGAACUCAAAGGAGACUGCCAGUGAUAAACUGGAGGAAGGUGGGGAUGACGUCAAGUCAUCAUGGCCCUUACGACCGGGCUACACACGUGCUACAAUGGCAUAUACAAAGAGAAGCGACCUCGCGAGAGCAAGCGGACCUCAUAAAGUAUGUCGUAGUCCGGAUUGGAGUCUGCAACUCGACUCCAUGAAGUCGGAAUCGCUAGUAAUCGUAGAUCAGAAUGCUACGGUGAAUACGUUCCCGGGCCUUGUACACACCGCCCGUCACACCAUGGGAGUGGGUUGCAAAAGAAGUAGGUAGCUUAACCUUCGGGAGGGCGCUUACCACUUUGUGAUUCAUGACUGGGGUGAAGUCGUAACAAGGUAACCGUAGGGGAACCUGCGGUUGGAUCACCUCCUUACCUUAAAGAA